CGCGCUUUUGGUUGAUAUAAUGGAUGAGGUGUAGAGUAUGACGGAGGAGAGAAUUCUGAUGACAGGGACAGAAUAUUCUUUUUAGAAGAUGAAUUUAGAGGAGGACGAGUGCGGACAGCCUAGCCUCAUGUCGGCAGACCCCGCAUCUGUGACGCGUCCAAGGCAACGGAGCUGCUCCAUAGGCCCAAUCUAGAGCAUCCUCCUCAUCACCUCAUCCUGCGGAUGAAGCCCAUGGCCGUGGCGCCACCCAAGGCUUCCUUCGUCCACCUGUUCGAACCCUAGCCCCGCGCCCCCACGCUUGCCUCUGCUAUGCUCAGUCGCUGCGUGCCUGAGGCCAGUUGCGCGUUGCACGGAGGCAUUAACAUGGAUGUGCACCAUGAAUUAUGAAUUAACGAUCUUGAGGUCUUCUCCAAGGUCGACAUGGGGAAUUUGGCUCCUUCCUCUCCCUGUUUUGCAUCAGAGAUUCCCAACCCCAUGGCGCUAGUGUCAGUGUUCAGUAAUGUCAGGAGUGGUGUACCAUGCUGAUCGUUUCAACAUGAAAUACUUAUGGCAUCAGGAUGCGCCGUGAUCUUUGUUUCAUUGAAAAAGAAUGUUUGAUCCUUGGCUCUGUCCCUCUAUUAUCCAUUUGUACAAGCCUUUAUGCAUUUUCGAGUUUUUUUCCCAUGCCAUCAGUCUUAGCUUUAAUGAAUCAGAUCCCCAGAUUCAAUGUAUUCAGCUACAGCUCGGUUAGGCGUUCUGUUUCCUGUAUCCAUUACAUUAUCUGUACUUUGCUUUGUGCUCUCAUUCAAA